rnacentral:rRNA from 1 species
UACGGGAGGGGGCGAGCGUUAUUCGGAAUUACUGGGCGUAAAGGGCCAGUAGGCGGCCAACUAAGUCCGACGUGAAAUCCCCAGGCUUAACCUGGGAACUGCGUCGGAUACUGGAUGGCUUGAAUUCGGGAGAGGGAUGCAGAAUUCCCGGGUGUAGCGGUGAAAUGUGUAGAGGAUCGGGAGGAACACCGGUGGCGAAGGCGGGUCUCUGGGCAAUUCCUGACGCUGAGGCGCGAAAGCGUGGGGAGCAAACGGG